AUGGCGGAGCUGGUGGCCGCCAUGGCCAUCCGGCCACUGGUGUCCAUGCUAAUGAGCAAGGCGUCCAGCUCACUCCUGGAUGAGUACAAGGUGAUGGAGGGAAUGGAGGAGCAGCACAAGGUUCUCAAGCGCAAGCUUCCAGCCAUCCUUGACGUCAUGACUGACGCCGAGGAGAAGGCAACGGAGCAUAGAGAUGGUGCCAAAGCCUGGCUCCAGGAGCUCAAGACAGUGGCCUAUGAGGCAAAUGAAGUCUUCGAUGAAUUCAAGUACGAAGCACUCCGCCGUGAAGCCAGGAAGAAGGGGCACUACAGAGAGCUUGGCUUCGAUGUAAUAAAGCUAUUCCCUACUCACAACCGUAUUGUGUUCCGUUACAAAAUGGCUCGCAAGCUUUGCCGGAUUCUGAAGGCCAUUGAUGUCCUUAUAGCGGAGGUGCAUGCCUUUAGGUUCAAGUACCGACCACAGCCGCCGGUGCCCAAGUAG
rnacentral:rRNA from 1 species